rnacentral:rRNA from 1 species
AGCGAACGCUGGCGGCAGGCUUAACACAUGCAAGUCGAGCGGGCGUAGCAAUACGUCAGCGGCAGACGGGUGAGUAACACGUGGGAACGUACCUUUUGGUUCGGAACAACACAGGGAAACUUGUGCUAAUACCGAAUAAGCCCUUACGGGGAAAGAUUUAUCGCCGAAAGAUCGGCCCGCGUCUGAUUAGCUUGUUGGUGAGGUAACGGCUCACCAGGGCGACGAUCAGUAGCUGGUCGAGAGGAUGAUCAGCCACACUGGGACUGAGACACGGCCCAGACUCCUACGGGAGGCAGCAGUGGGGAAUAUUGGACAAUGGGGGCAACCCUGAUCCAGCCAUGCCGCGUGAGUGAUGAAGGCCCUAGGGUUGUAAAGCUCUUCUGUGCGGGAAGAUAAUGACGGUACCGCAAGAAUAACGCCCCGGCUAACUUCGUGCCAGCAGCCGCGGUAAU